ensembl:lncRNA
CCCCCGGGCCGCGCUCCGGCGGGCCCGGCGCCUUGCCCUGGCUGUUGUUCGCCCCCGCCGGAGCCGCCGCCACUUGCGCGGCCAUGAUCACCGCCACAUCGCGAGGCCGGAGGGACGGGCGCUGGGACCGAAAGGACCGAAAAUCGGGCAAAAAAGCCAGACGGCGUUCGGCCCCCGCGCUCGGCGAGGGGGAGAGCCGGGGGGGAGGGGGGGAGAGGAGCGGGGCGAGAGGGCUCGGCCGGGCCGGGGUGUCCCUGCGGGCCGCUCCGCUCCGCAGAAAUCCCCUCCUCGAGUCCGUGGCCGAGAAAUGAUAAUGGGAGCUGAUCAAGAAGAGAGAGGCACAGAGUCUCGUAAUUGUUUCCCCAAACAAUGUAAUUUCCAGUACGCACAGGACACUCAUGAAAACACAGCGAUACCAGAACAAAAACUGAAAUAUGUCAUCCAAAUGGCACAUGGAAAGCCAUUGCUGAUGACCUACAUUUUUAAACCAUCCUCCAGAAUGGUUUGGAGGAUUUUUUUAUGACUGUUCUGAUACAAAUGGUACCCCGGCAUAAGAAAAAGUAAACCUUACACACUACAUUAAAGCGAUAAAAGCAUCUGGAGGUCAGAUACUCUGCUAAGGAAGCAGCUAGCAAACUGAGAUGUUAGCAAACAUUUUCAGUGUAGUAAGGGCCUAGAUACACUGUUUUAAAUGAAUAUUUCUAUGCAUGCUGUUAGUGAUGGCCACAUUUUCAAAUUUCAGAAUAGCUAAGUAGGAAGCUCGAUGAUACUGGUAGAGAGAAAUGCAGCAUGUCAUGGAAGAUGCUGUCACGAGCGGGUGGACUGCAGGUGGACUUUAUCGUUCCCAUUGUGAAAGCAUUAAAGAACAGAAGCGUCGUGCCCUGACAUUGAGUUACAUGCCGCCAGAUGAACCGGUCCCGGUCAGACUGUAUGACCCGCUCACAAGCCUUGUUUGCACGGGUGCUGCUCUUCACUCAGCUAUGCUCAUGGGCUCCAUUUCCAGAGGGCCCCCAGGAUAUGGCAUGCAGCUCUGGCACCAGCCUGGCA